rnacentral:rRNA from 1 species
CCAAUAGCGUAUAUUAAAGUUGUUGCAGUUAAAAAGCUCGUAGUUGAACUUCAGGCCUGUCCAGAUGGUCCGCCUUAAUUGGUGUGUACUGUCCUUGGGUGGGUCCUACCUUCUGGCGAAGCGGCAUGGCCUUAGUUGGUUGUGUCGGGGAACCAGGACUUUUACUGUGAAAAAAUUAGAGUGUUCAAAGCAGGCAUAUAUGCUCGAAUACAUUAGCAUG